rnacentral:rRNA from 1 species
GACGAACCGUGCGAACGUUGUUCGGAAUCACUGGGCUUAAAGGGCGCGUAGGCGGCAGAUCAAGUCCGGGGUGAAAUCCUCCAGCUCAACUGGAGAAGUGCCUUGGAUACUGAUGUGCUCGAGGGAGGUAGGGGUCCGCGGAACUUCUGGUGGAGCGGUGAAAUGCGUUGAUAUCAGAAGGAACGGCCGGUGGCGAAAGCGGCGGACUGGAUCUCUUCUGACGCUGAGGCGCGAAAGCUAGGGGAGCAAACGGG